rnacentral:rRNA from 1 species
AUGAACGCUAGCGGCAGGCUAACACAUGCAAGUCGAGGGGCAGCAUACCCAGCAAUGGGUGAUGGCGACCGGCGGAAGGGUGCGUAACGCGUGAGCAACAUACCCUAUACAGGGGGAUAAGCCAGGGAAACUUGGUCUAAUAUCCCAUAGGAAAUAGAUAAGGCAUCUUGUUUAUUUUAAAGCUUCGGUGGUAUAGGAUUGGCUCGCGUGACAUUAGCUAGAUGGAGGGGUAACGGCCCACCAUGGCAAUGAUGUCUAGGGGUUCUGAGAGGAAGAUCCCCCCACACUGGGACUGAGACACGGCCCAGACUCCUACGGGAGGCAGCAGUGAGGAAUAUUGGACAAUGGAUGGAAAUCUGAUCCAGCCAUGCCGCGUGCAGGAAAGACGGCCCUAUGGGUUGUAAACUGCUUUUAUACGGGAGCAAUAAGGUCUAUGCAUAGAUUGAUGAGAGUACCGUAUGAAUAAGCAUCGGCUAACUCCGUGCCAGCCGCCGC